GCCGUCUCUUCCCUCAAAGGGUUUCCUGCUGCUGGACUGGAAAUGAUUUCUUCUGAUAUUUCAGAGGCAGAAGGCAUUUCUCACCUUCCCAAGAGCCAGGAGGAUGGAGGUAAUUAUGUCAUCUUGGAACAAUAAUGAAGUCAUUGGCUUUAGAAAUAUUUGUGUUAUUGAAAAAUUCAAAUAAUACAGAAGCCAAGAGAAUAAAACAAUGAACUCACCUUAUGUCCUCAUCACCUAGCUUUGGCAAUUGUCAACUCACAGCACAGAAAUAAUGGUGCCUACCUCCCCCAGACGUGAGCUGGGACCGUAGGCUGGUGCAUCGCUUCUGAAAAGUGAAUACCGAGUGUAUUCCAGGACCAGCUGAAACGCAAAGUCAGGCCACCACUUAAGAGGACUGGAGGGCCGAGCGUGAAUUUAAAAUGACUACUAGGUAAUCACACCUUCUCUUAACUGGCCUGCUUCUUUGCUGGGUUUUAUUUUAAGCGCUUCGGAGCAUUUGUGUUGCUUUUGUGAUCCUUCGUUCGUUCGUGGUUCUUUUGCAGCCAAGCCCUCCCCCGGCUUAUGCAAAUAUGAGUCCCCCAGAAGGCAGCCCCCACACCAACUGCAAGGGACAGAGAUAGUAAAUUCCACAGCCAGGUUCUGGGUUUCGCCACCAUCAGGAGAGAUGAGGCCUGGAGUUCGGGGCUGGGGGCAGGGCACAAAGCCCCUCCUAAAAUAUCCCCACUGCCCACAGAGCCCCGUCUCCGUCAGCUCUUCUGCAACAGAAGACACAUGCCUUUGGACUGUUGUUACCAAACCAGAGUCUGCCCGCCUCGCAUGGCAAAGCCUAAUUCUGACAUCAGGGCUGCAGUGAAGAGAAAAUGAGGCGUUUCACGCAGGAGACUCCCAGCAGGCAGAAUCGGCCAGCUCAUGCUUAAAACCCAGACUCCCCGACGGCUUCCCAGUGGCUUAUGGGUAAGGGUUUUUAAAGGUGGGGAGGGUCCGGGCACAGCAGCUGAGGCCUAUAAUCCCAGCACUUUGGGAGGCCAACACAGGUGGAUCACUUGAGGCCAGGAGUUCGA